UGGGGAAUAUUGCACAAUGGGGGAAACCCUGAUGCAGCGACGCCGCGUGAACGAAGAAGGUAUUCGUAUCGUAAAGUUCUGUCCUAUGGGAAGAUAAUGACAGUACCAUAGAAGAAAGCUCCGGCUAAAUACGUGCCAGCAGCCGCGGUAAUACGUAAGGUCCGAGCGUUGUCCGGAAUCAUUGGGCGUAAAGGGUACGUAGGCGGGUAAGCAAGUUAGAAGUGAAAUCCUAUAGCUCAACUAUAGUAAGCUUUUAAAACUGCUCAUCUUGAGGUAUGGAAGGGAAAGUGGAAUUCCUAGUGUAGCGGUGAAAUGCGCAGAUAUUAGGAGGAAUACCGGUGGCGAAGGCGACUUUCUGGCCAUAACCUGACGCUGAGGUACGAAAGCGUGGGUAGCAAACAGG
rnacentral:rRNA from 1 species